rnacentral:rRNA from 1 species
AUUGAACGCUGGCGGCAGGCCUAACACAUGCAAGUCGAACGGAGCGGCGGGCGGGUGAGUAAUGCCUAGGAAUCUGCCUGGUAGUGGGGGAGGACGUCCGUAAACGGGCGCUAAUACAGCAUACUAUUUGAUUAGCCUAGGUCGGAUUGGCUAGUUGAUGGGGUAAAGGCCUACCAAGGCGACGAUCCGUAACUGGUCUGAGAGGAUGAGAAGUCACACGGGAGCUGAGAAACGGUCCAGACGCCUACGGGAGGAAGCAGUGGGGAAUAUUGGACAAUGGGCGAAAGCCUGAUCCAGCCAUGCCGCGUGUGUGAAGAAGGUCUUCGGAUUGUAAAGCACUUUAAGUUGGGAGGCGUUACCAACAGAAUAAGCACCGGCUAACUUCGUGCCAGCAGCCGCGGUAAUUC